ACAUUAAGGUACAACCGUUUAGUUUCGUCACUCCAGUGUGUUUUUUAUUUUAUAAACAUGUCAAAAUGUCCGAAUUUCAUGGGUCCAUAAAACCUAUUAUUAUCCAGAUGUGGUCAAUAAUUGUUUUGUUACAUAAUGUUAUUAGUAAAAUUGUCUACAUUCAUGUUUUCUUUAUUUCUGUGGAAAUUUGUAGGCAUUUACAUUUCCCGCAAAAUAUUUUUAAACUGACGCGCUUUGUUUGACGUCAUCAAAUUUUAUGACGUAACGUUUUCCUACACACACGAUUCGAGUCACAACGGCAAGCAGGUGCGACUAAUAGCAUAAUGAGAAGGCCGCUUAAUUCAUAUUUGUUGUGUGAUAAUGGUUGCGAAUUUCAACGCUACAGCCUAUCAUGUCAAAGACUAUUCCACGGCCAGAAAAGUCAAGAUAAAGAUCAUAUUCGGAUGAGACAGUAUCCAAGGCAUAUAUAUAUGUAGCUGUUGUGGAAGAUGGCAUGGGCAUCCGGAAAGCUUCAAGAACACUUGAUAUUACCCUUAGUACAUUGCUUGAUCGAUGCAGUGGGAAAGUUGAUGUGGCCUGCCAUAAAUAUGGACCUGAACCAUUCUUGUCUACCCAUGAAGAGGAAAAACUGGCGUCAAAUGUACAGAGCAUGACAGCCUUCGGUUAUGGCUACAGCAGACAAGAUGUGCUGAUCAUUGCAACUGAUCUUGCCAUCUGUUUAGGGAAGAAGACAAGAGCCGAUACACCAGUGUUCUUAGGAUGGUUUGAUGGUCUCAUGAGGAGAUUCCCCGAGUUAAAUGUACAGAAGCCGAGGUUCCUGGAUAUCCAGAGGACCAAAGCAAUGUCUGAGGAAACAGUUUUGUGCUACUACGCCCACUUGGAAAAGAUUUUGGAUGACAACGACUUGAAGAACAGUCCUGAGCAUAUGUACAACAUAGAUGAAAAAGGACUAAUCGAGAAUCACAAGCCUCCAAACAUUGUUGCCUCCAGUAAAUCGGUGCCAGUUGCAGUAACACUGCCCAGGUCGAGCACGACGACAGUGAUCGGAUGUGGUAAUGCCAUUGGACAAACCAUCUCUCCAUAUUUCAUUUUCAAAGGGAAGCGAAUGCGAAACAAGCUAUUGAAAGGUUGUUUGCCAGGAGCUAAUGGAACUGUCAUUAAUUCGGGCUGGUCCAACAGUGAAAUCUUCUAGAAGUAUCUUACAGAGCACUUUGUCAAGUACUCUAUCCAGCCAACAGCAGAGAAACCAGUGUUGAUCUUGUACGACGGUCACAAGUCGCACGUCUCCAUAGCACUGAGUGAAUGGGUGAGCGAGAGACAUAUCAUCCUGUUUGUGCUUCCAGCACAUACCUCGCAUGUACUUCAACCAAUGGAUGUUGGUUGCUUUGGGCUGCUCGAGAAAAUCUACUGCAACCGUAGACACACGUACAUGUGUGAGCAUUCAACAAAAGGGCAUCGAGAAGCAUUGUAUAUGUCGAUUGGGUUGUCAGGCAUACACAAGGGCAGUAACACAAGCCAAUCUGCAGACGUCUUUCAGAAAGUACAGAAUUUUCCCUUUCAACAGACAUGCGGUAAACAAAUCGGACUUUGUGCCAUAUCAGUUGUUUAAGUCUUCUGAAGAUCAGGAAGUAUUACCAGAAGAAUCCAACAACACGAACAAAAGGAAAUCAUCAGAAGUCACCGAUGUCACUUUGCCAUCGUCUGCAACAGGAUUCUUCUCGCAACUUGAUGAGACUAUGUUCAGCGUUGCAAAGCCCCCAAAGAAAAGAAAAGUGAUGAGUGCUAUUGUAGGUGGUAGAGCAAUAACCAAUGACAGUACCCUCGAAAAGAUGAAGGACCACCAGAAAUCACCCCCGCCCCUAAAGAAACAGAUUCAGAAAAAGUCAUCUGUGGUGAUGAUGAUGAGGUGAGUUGCCACUGCAAUCUCUUCCAACUCAAGGAGAGUGCCUCGAUUAACUUUGUCACUUGGGCACAGUGUACACAUCCCACGUGCCAACACUGGACUCGAUAGUUAACUGCCCUAUUUCUGGUGUGAACAGGGCACCAUACACGGCUGUGACAUUCCAGGAAAACCCCGUAAUGACGGCCAUACAUGUUGCCGAGGACUUUGUUUUCGUAAGGAACCGUGUUUAUUUCAUGGAUUAAAUACUCAAGUUACAGAUUCAAGCAGACAAUCACCACACACACAGUGACACGUAGCAAAAAUGGGGUACUACGAUUCGAAAGUUCCAACGCGGCAACCAUGAAAGUUUGUGAAAUGUAUGUGCAGAGAGUACUCACAGACACGGGAGAAGCAUACACAAUAAAAUACUUGAAGAAGAACAUUUUAGAGUAACUUUCACCACUGCCACCAUGUUUAAGUUCCUUUGAACUUUAAAGAAUAAAGAAGACGAUCAAAAGUUAUCAACCUUUACUGCGCACUAGUGGAAAAAUCAACAAGACUGGAAGUACGUCAUAGACAUGUAAUACCAACUAUGGUAGACCGAAUGUAUCAUAACAGGUAUGAAAUGAUCAACAACCACUCUAACCCGAUCCCCAAUUAAAACUACCUUAACCAUUGAAGGGGUUACGGGUCGAACUCAUGCCUUCAUGUACUGAAGUAUUUCCGAUUCAGGGUAUAGCAUCACAAAGAAUGCUUCGGUUGAUCCAUGAAUAUGAAACUAGAGACCACACCGGAAGACUGGUAGCGCCACUCACAUCCGUUACACCAUUGUCAAAUGCAAGUUUUGAAAAGCACAUUAGUUAACGUCUAUAAAACAUUUAUUGUUUACUAUUGGAAGAAUACCAGUACUUGUAACAGGUAUAAAAUACAUUGAUAAAACUUUAUAACAAAUAUAGAACUAAUGUUACUUGCCACUUUACGGUUUAUUCAGUGGCAAAGUGAAAAAGUAACCAUACCGCAUUUAAUUAUUGAAAAAUAGUGUUGUCGUUACUGCAAGUAUUUAUUUUUGUGAGGUAAUUAUAUUUAAUUUAUUACUCUUGCAGUACAUGACAAAAUUUAGAUGUUUUGAUUUAUUGUAUAACUGUGAUCGCCCAUUAACAACAUCAUCCUGUUUGUGUGUUUACUACAAUCCAAGAUGGCGGAUAUUUGUUUACAUUAUGAAUACAUUUAUUGUGGCCCUGACACAUCUGUUGUUAGGGAAUCACAUAAAAAUAACCCUUUUAACCACAUCUUUAUUAUUAAGGGAUGUAGGACAAAAUCUCACUGGAAAAAAUGUCAAGUCAAAAUAUCAACUAUUAAAGUGGAAGGAAAUGUUUUAUUUAAUGAUGCACUCAACACAUUUUAUUUACGGUUAUAUGGCAUCAGACAUAUGGUUAAGAACCACACAGAUAUUGAGAGAUGAAAGCCGCUGUCGCCACUUCAUCGGCUACUCUUUUCAAUUAGCAGCAAGGGAUCUUUUAUAUGCACCAUCCCACAGACAGGAUAGUACACACCACAGCCUUUGUUACACCAAUUGCGGAUCAUUGGCUGUAAUCUAUUAAAGUGAUACCCAUGUAAAAAUGUCAACUUUGACAUUAUACUUAAUGUGUAAAACAAAUUUUAAAACUCCCAACUAUUCUAUAACUUUUUUUCUUUCACCAAUUAAACCACUGUUUCCACACCUUUAACAGCACUAAAUGUGUAUAAAUAACACAGCAUGGGUGAUGUAAAAAAACGUUUUAAUGCCACAAACUUAUUUUUUAAAAAUCAAAGACAGGCUGGCUAAUAAGCCAUACAACCAACAAUGAAGCAUUCUCUUUAAUUAUUCCAAAUUUUGUAAUUAUGAAAAAACUCAAUUUCCCAAAAGCUAACAUAUAUCUGUUAUGUCUCUUGCUCUGUCCUUUUCCUCCCUCCACCCCUCUCACUGUCUCUCUGUCUCACUUCUCUCCAUCUCUUGUAUAACACACACACACACAAGUUGACAUUUUGACAGAGAUACAACAUUAAUGGUACACAUUUUGUCCUGUUACAUAUUGACAACUGACCUGUAUAUAACUUUUUCCAUGGCCGAGUGAUGCUCUUUACUCUGUACAAUUGAGCAUGCUGUGAUAAUGUGAAUAAUGAUUGAUGUUUGCCGAUUACUACAUGUAGCACAUUAAAAAAAUGGCCGUUUUCUUAUGUUGAACUCUUUUGGGGGGUGGAUGGGUAUUAUAAUGACCAAUUAGUCGAUAUACUGAUUAUAUUACUGUUAUUGAAGGUAUUUUAUUUGAAAAUAAUGAAUACAUUCCUAAAAUUUUGAGUGUGCCAAACGUUUAGUUUUUUUGCAAAACGGAGUUACCUACCCUGAUUAAUAAAAAAUAUAUUUUGGGGGUCAAGGCCAAUUGAUUUUUCUUUUUUUUUUAAAUAAAAAAUUCUUUUAAAGGUAUUUCUUCAGUGUAACAAACAAUCAAUAUCAUUCUUGUCAUUUUUAAAAAGUGUCCGCGGUCCCUAAUGAAACGGAAAUGGAAACCCAAAAUAAAAAAAUAUACUAGUAUAUAAAAAAAUACAGUUAUAAUUUCAUGUUUACAGGAUACGCCCAUAAAAAUGGCCAUAUUCUUUUAACAUACUUAUCACUUGUCACAUAUUUAGGUGGAAAGACUGAUCUCCAUAAUAUUACCGUUACAUAACAAAUAAUAACGUCAUAUUUCGAAUAAGAAGAAUAAACGAAAUUUUAUUUUUACCUUUCAUCGUUGCUAUUGGCAAACCGGAACUGAUGUCAUAAACACCUAUUGUCUAUUGGUCAUCAAAUUUAACUGCGUACGUUUCCGACAUCAAGCGUCAUCACAAUGACGUCACUUAGCAUUGUUUUCAUUUUAAAAUGGUUUUCUAAAAUAACUUUUGACAUUUUUGCCAAAAACAAAGUAUGAAAAUAAAAUGUCAAUGAAUACUCUUAGAAUGACAUAUCCAAAUAUUUGCUAAAUUGUUGUAUAUCUUAUGGGGUUUUUUAAAAUAGAAGUGACCCGUCAAAUAGCGCGUGCUAUUGUUUGUUAUUGUUUCUUGUUUUUUGGUAGCGGUUUCUUUUAUCUGUAGAAAUUUGUUAUAAUAUACUAUUAUAUAUGAACUACAAUAUGACAGUUGCAUUAAAAUAGAAUAAGUAUCACUUUUCAUGUCUUAAAAAGGUACAAAUACAAUAUAAUAGUUGUAAUCAGACGGCAAAAACAGUCAUCGAAAAGCGCAAUUUCCCCCAUUUCUAUUUAUAAACAACAGGUCAUGUGACAGCACAUUUGCCGCCAUACAAUUUGACAUAAGAAGAAUAAACGAAAUUUAAUUUUUACCUUUCAUCGUUGCUAUCCAGAAAGCAAACCGGAACUGAUGUCAUAAACACCUAUUGUCUAUUGGUCAUCAAAUUUAACCGCGUACAUUUCCGACAUCAAGCGUCAUCACAAUGACGUCACUUAGCAUUGUUUUCAUUUUAAAAUCAUUUUCUAAAAUAACUUUUGACAUUUUUGCCAAAAACAAAGUAUGAAAAUAAAAUGUCAAUGAAUAGUCUUAGAAUGACAUAUCCACAUAUUUGCUACAUUGUUGUUGUAUAUCUUAUGUUUUUUUUAAAAUAGAAGUAACCCGUCAAAUAGCGCGUGCUAUUGUUUGUUAUUGUUUCUUGUUUUUUGGUAGCGGUUUCUUUUAUCUGUAGAAAUUUGUCAUAAUAUACUAUUAUAUAUGAACUACAUUAUGACAGUUGCAUUAAAAUAGAAUAAGUAUUACAUUUCAUGUCUUAAAAAGGUACAAAUACAAUAUAAUAGUUGUAAUCAGACGACAUAAAGAGUCAUCGAAAAGCGCAAUUUCCCCCAUUUCUAUUUAUAAACAACAGGUCAUGUGACAGCACAUUUGCCGCCAUACAAUUUGACAUAAGAAGAAUAAACGAAAUUUAAUUUUUACCUUUCAUCGUUGCUAUCCAGAAAGCAAACCGGAACUGAUGUCAUAAACACCUAUUGUCUAUUGGUCAUCAAAUUUAACCGCGUACAUUUCCGACAUCAAGCGUCAUCACAAUGACGUCACUUAGCAUUGUUUUCAUUUUAAAAUCAUUUUCUAAAAUAACUUUUGACAUUUUUGCCAAAAACAAAGUAUGAAAAUAAAAUGUCAAUGAAUAGUCUUAGAAUGACAUAUCCAAAUAUUUGCUAAAUUGUUGUAUAUGUUAUGUUUUUUAAAAAUAGAAAUUACCCGUCAAAUAGCGCGUGCUAUUGUUUCUUGUUUUUUGGUAGCGGUUUCUUUUAUCUGUAGAAAUUUGUCAUAAUAUACUAUUAUAUAUGAACUACAUUAUGACAGAUGCAUUAAAAUAGAAUAAGUAUCACUUUUCAUGUCUUAAAAAGGUACAA
rnacentral:lncRNA from 1 species